AACGCGAAGAACCUUACCUGGGCUUGAACCGCUACUGACCAACGGUAGAAAUAUCGUCUUCCCGCAAGGGACAGUAGUAGAGGUGCUGCAUGGCUGUCGUCAGCUCGUGCCGUGAGGUGUUGGGUUAAGUCCCGCAACGAGCGCAACCCUUAUUCGUAGUUGCCACCCGCAAGGGGGAACUCUACGAGGACUGCUCCGGAUAACGGAGAGGAAGGUGGGGAUGACGUCAAGUCAGCAUGGCCUUUAUGUCCAGGGCUACACACGUGUUACAAUGCACGGUACAGACUGUUGCGAACCCGCGAGGGGGAGCUAAUCGGAGAAAACCGUGCUCAGUUCGGAUUGCAGUCUGCAACUCGACUGCAUGAAGCUGGAAUCGCUAGUAAUGGCGUAUCAGAUCGACGCCGUGAAUACGUUCCCGGGCCUUGUA
rnacentral:rRNA from 1 species